rnacentral:rRNA from 1 species
AUUGAACGCUGGCGGCAUGCCUUACACAUGCAAGUCGAACGGCAGCGCGGGCUUCGGCCUGGCGGCGAGUGGCGGACGGGUGAGUAAUGCAUCGGAACGUGCCCAGGAGUGGGGGAUAACGUAGCGAAAGUUACGCUAAUACCGCAUACGUACUGAGGUAGAAAGCGGGGGAUCGAAAGACCUCGCGCUCAUGGAGCGGCCGAUGUCGGAUUAGCUAGUUGGUGAGGUAAAAGCUCACCAAGGCGACGAUCCGUAGCUGGUCUGAGAGGACGACCAGCCACACUGGAACUGAGACACGGUCCAGACUCCUACGGGAGGCAGCAGUGGGGAAUAUUGGACAAUGGGCGAAAGCCUGAUCCAGCCAUGCCGCGUGUGUGAAGAAGGUCUUCGGACUGUAAAGCACUUUAAGUUGGGAGGAAGGGUUGUAAGCUAAUAUCUUGCAGCUUUGACGUUACCAACAGAAUAAGCACCGGCUAACUCUGUACCAGCCGCCGCUGUAA